AUUGAACGCUGGCGGCAGGCCUAACACAUGCAAGUCGAGCGGAGCGGCGGACGGGUGAGUAAUGCUUAGGAAUCUGCCUGGUAGCGGGGGAUAACGUCCGGAACUGGGCGCUAAUACCGCAUACUAUCAGAUUAGCCUAGGUCGGAUUAGCUAGUUGGUGGGGUAAAGGCCUACCAAGGCGACGAGCCGUACCGGGUCUGAGUGGAUGAUCAGUCACACGGGAACUGAGACACGGUCCAGACUCCUACGGUAGGCAGCAGUGGGGAAUAUUGGACAAUGGGCGAAAGCCUGAUGCAGCCAUGCCGCGUGUGUGAAGAAGGUCUGUGGGUUGUAAAGCACUUUAAGUUGGGAGGCGUUACCAACAGAAUAAGCACCGGCUAACUUCGUGCCAGCAGCCGCGGUAAUAC
rnacentral:rRNA from 1 species